rnacentral:rRNA from 1 species
CAAGAGCGUAUAUUAAAGUUGCUGCGGUUAAAAAGCUCGUAGUUGGAUUUCAGUCUAGGAAGGUUAACUCGCCGAAAGGUUGUACGUUGAUUUUCCUCAGACUUCGUCAGAAGCUCGUGCUGCACUUAACUGUGUGGUACGAUGUUCUGACCCUUUACCUUGAGGAAAGUAGAGUGUUUCAGGCAGGCUACCCAGCUUGAAUACAUUAGCAUGGAAUAAUGAAAUGGAUCUCGGUUCGAUUUCGUUGGUUCUAGAGCUGAGGUGAUGAUCAAUAGGAACAGGCGAAGGUAUUCGUACUUGAGAGUGAGGAGUGAAAUCCGAUGAUCUCUUAAAGACGAUCCGAGGCGAAAGCAUUUGUCAAGGAUGUUUUCAUUGA